rnacentral:lncRNA from 1 species
CCUUAAAUGUGCAACUGUUGAAGUGCAUAGUUAACUGCUCCAUUUUUACAAAAUUAUAAUAAAGUUGUUUUGAAGAAUACAGUCUCUCUCCUUUUGGUUAGAAUUUCUACGACAAUUUUGUGACAGCGGUGGAAUGGCUAACUCCGCUUGCUGAUUGCUCCCGGGGAGAUGAGGUUAACUGUGCAGGGGUUGCGUCAGACGUGGCAGGGAGCCCCACACCCAGUGAGUGGAUACGCUAUUCCGAACAUACAAAAUUAAUUGAGGAUUUCAACCAGAAAAUGACGUCAUUAUGACGUCCCAUGCCAAAUUCUGCCCACUGGAGUGUGUGCAGCCAAGGACUGUAUAACCUGUUCACAUGCAAAAAGUACCUGGGCAUGUCCAGUCAAGACAAAAUAAAGUAAAUGGACUAACAAGACUCUUCAAGCAGACGUUGAGGGUGACCUUCACUUACACGAGCUCAAGAGAGCAAGCUACAGUAGAGACAAGAGAGACUUUUGAUUCCUUCAGCUGUGUUUGGGAAUGAGACUGAACGUGCAUUAGGUGCUGCUUCCAUCCUUUCCCUCCUCUCAUCCACUCCCAUAUGGCAGGCGUGUGGAUCUGGGCAUAGGGAGAGAGCGUCGGAGGGAGAAAAAAAAAAGAGGUCCCAUAUGUGUUUUUUCACUUCGUUAGUUCCAAAGCAUACAGAGGCCCUCUUCAGCAGAUCCAUUUAAAUCAAUGUGGUUUUAGAUGUCCAGAAAUGCAGCCCUCAUUUGCAUGAGAAGCUCACAUCACAAGCUGUAGAACGUAGGAAAAAAUAAGAAGUUAGACUCUCACACUGAGGGAUGUGCUUUAAUUAAAGGGACUUUCAAGUGAAUGCUUAUGGGCCUUGAACGUUGUACACAACAAUAUCAUCUGAUAAGAUCUCUAGGGAUUUUCUCAAAGGAGGCUAAGUGGAUCUGAAAAAUAUAAAAUGACUGUCAUUCUGUGUUUUCUUAGUAUUGCGACAUACACUCAGUGGCCAGUGUAUUCGGUACACCAUCUGGUUCAUGAAAAUGGUUAGCUCCUACAGGCAGUGAGUCAAGUGGCCGUGGCUUGCUAUAUAAAGCAGGCAGACAGGUAUUGAGGCUUUCAUUUACUGUUCGAUUGAAUGUUAGAAUGGGCAAAACGAGUGACCUAAGUGACUUUGAGCGUGGUAUGAUUGUCCAGUUCCAGUAUCUUAGAAACAGCCUCCUGGGCUUUUCACGCAUGACAGUGUUGUCAUGACUCUCUCUCCUUGGUGAGGAUCAAAGGCGCCAGAUCAGCUCGGCAAAGGGAUGACAGAUAGCCAAACCCCCCCUCUCUCCCACCAGAGAGGAAGGGGCGAGUUGGGCCGGUUUUAUGACUUAACACAGGUCAUAAACUUUCUCUCUCUUGCCCUGCAGUAUUGAACAAAGGAAUGUGCUGUGUGUAGAGAGAGACUCUUGACAAAACUUCAACAUCUAACAACGGACACUGGGACAAUAUAUUUCAACAUCCAAACGUUGGGUAUGAUGAGGGAUGGAAUAUGGAAAAUGGAUAUCUAUUUUGUGAUGUCAUUAAAAUGAUCAGAAAGACUGUAUAACAAGAUAACUGUAACUCUGAAAGUGUAGACGUCCUAGUUAUCAGGUUUGCAUCUAAAUGUUGUAUAAAAUAAAUUAUUAAGUAUAAGAAUACUUUUGAAAAGAUAGAAAUGUGAGUUUAGCCUUCUAAAUGAGAUAAUGGCUUUUCAUAUAAACCUGGGCCCAGUCAGUAACCACGCCAUGUGAUGUGAGCACAGACAUUGUGUCAACAGGACGGAAUGCCCUCCAAGGCCAGGGUGCUUAAAAGGACUCGCUGAGAAUUUAAAUACAGACCAGAGAACGUGAGGACGUGGUCCACACUUUGAAAUGGUUUAAACUACAAGACCAAAAAAUGGUAAGACCCUCUGAAUCUCUCGACGAGUGAAGAAGGUGAAGACUAGACCACACAUUCACAGUCUGCAGCUGGGUAUGUGAAGUAGUCUAGGACAAUUGACCAAAGACGGGAGGGAAGGACAGAUCUCUCUCACACUUGGAGGUAUGCAUUCUAAGAACACUCCAAGACAAAGAAGCCUACAACUAAGAAGGACAUUGUGACCUCCGGUGGACAACCAGUCUUACAUCGAACUACUCCCCAUAGACGGACCAAGUGGUUUCAACAGAGAGACGACAGAGAAAGACAUCUACGCGUAAAUAUAUGUUGCAUUUCUAAUCCGAAUGAGCGGUUGUUAGGGUGCUAAAUAUUCUGGAUAUGUUGAGCGUAGUUUUCAAAUGUAUGUACGAUAAGUUGACUCUCUCUCCCUCUCUUUAUCUUUCCCCAC